rnacentral:rRNA from 1 species
UACAGAGGGUGCAAGCGUUAAUCGGAGUUACUGGGCGUAAAGGGCGCGUAGGCGGUUUUGUAAGUUGGAUGUGAAAUCCCUGGGCUUAACCUAGGAACUGCAUUCAAUACUGUAAGACUAGAAUAUUGUAGAGGGUAGUGGAAUUUCCGGUGUAGCGGUGAAAUGCGUAGAGAUCGGAAGGAACACCAGUGGCGAAGGCGGCUAUCUGGACGAAUACUGACGCUGAAGUUCGAAAGCGUGGGGAGCAAACAGG